rnacentral:misc_RNA from 1 species
UGAUUCCACUGCAGUACUUUUUGAUCGCCGGUCAGGACAAAUCCUAUCGACACUAAGUGGUCACUCAAAAAAGGUUACUAGUGUGAAAUUUGUCACAGACGGUGAUUUAUUUUUAACUGGAUCAGCAGACAAGACAGUUCGUGUAUGGCAAGGAUCUGAAGAUGGAAACUAUGACUGCAGACACAUCUUGAAGGAUCAUACUGCUGAGGUACAUGCUGUCACUGUCCAUGCCACAAAAAACUACUUCGUGACUGCUUCUCUCGAUAAUACGUGGUGCUUCUAUGAUCUCUCCUCUGGGAUAUGCUUGUCGCAGGUCUCUGACACUUCAAAAUCCGACACUUCUAAACCUGAGGGCUAUACAUC